UCUUCUUUCUUUCUUGAGGCGUGGUUAAGCACUGCCUUUUUAAGAACUUUUAAGAAUUUGUCCGUAUUGCGGAAGUUCCCAAAGUAUAACAGGAACCUCUGCUGUGGUAUACCCAGGGAACAACAGGAACCUUCGGUGUGAUAUAGCUAGAGUACAACAAGAGCCUCUAAUGUUGUAGAUCGAAGCUAUAAAGCUGGCAAGUGUAUAAGAAGAGAACCAAGAAUAACGAAAGAAGAGGUCGAAGGUUUAUUCUGAAGGACCCCCUGUUUAUGGAGGCCCAGACAUGACCAACACGAUCACACACGAAAACAGGAGUAGUGUUACAAGAAAGGAGGAAAGGGAAAAAAAAAAAA